rnacentral:rRNA from 1 species
CUCGCCUACAUGAAGCUGGAGUUACUAGUAAUCGCAGAUCAGAAUGCUGCGGUGAAUGCGUUCCCGGGUCUUGUACACACCGCCCGUCACACCACGGAAGUUGGGGGCGCCCGAAGCCACUUAGCUAACCCAUUUGGGAAGCGAGUGUCGAAGGUGAAAUCAAUAACUGGGGUGAAGUCGUAACAAGGUACC